CUUUACCUAGCGGCGGACGGGUGAGUAAUGCUUAGGAAUCUGCCUAUUAGUGGGGGACAACAUCUCGAAAGGGAUGCUAAUACCGCAUACGUCCUACGGGAGAAAGCAGGGGACCUUCGGGCCUUGCGCUAAUAGAUGAGCCUAAGUCGGAUUAGCUAGUUGGUGGGGUAAAGGCCUACCAAGGCGACGAUCUGUAGCGGGUCUGAGAGGAUGAUCCGCCACACUGGGACUGAGACACGGCCCAGACUCCUACGGGAGGCAGCAGUGGGGAAUAUUGGACAAUGGGGGGAACCCUGAUCCAGCCAUGCCGCGUGUGUGAAGAAGGCCUUUUGGUUGUAAAGCACUUUAAGCGAGGAGGAGGCUACCGAGAUUAAUACUCUUGGAUAGUGGACGUUACUCGCAGAAUAAGCACCGGCUAACUCUGUGCCAGCAGCCGCGGUAAUACAGAGGGUGCAAGCGUUAAUCGGAUUUACUGGGCGUAGAGCGCGCGUAGGUGGCCAAUUAAGUCAAAUGUGAAAUCCCCGAGCUUAACUUGGGAAUUGCAUUCGAUACUGGUUGGCUAGAGUAUGGGAGAGGAUGGUAGAAUUCCAGGUGUAGCGGUGAAAUGCGUAGAGAUCUGGAGGAAUACCGAUGGCGAAGGCAGCCAUCUGGCCUAAUACUGACACUGAGGUGCGAAAGCAUGGGGAGCAAACAGGAUUAGAUACCCUGGUAGUCCAUGCCGUAAACGAUGUCUACUAGCCGUUGGGGUCUUUGAGACUUUAGUGGCGCAGCUAACGCGAUAAGUAGACCGCCAGGGGAGUA
rnacentral:rRNA from 1 species